rnacentral:lncRNA from 1 species
GUGGCCUUGAGCGAAGUUGACAAGGUGUACAGCAAUAUAACUGAAUUAUAUCUAUGUAAACAAAAAUCAAUGGUUAAUAGCCAUGAAAUGACACUAAUUAUUUCAUAUUUACGGCUACGAUAGAUCAAUCACACCUGCGGGAAGAUUGUCAUCGAUUUUUUUUUACCUUUCGACAUUUUUUUCGACCCUGUUGAUAAUGUUGGACAUAUUGACAUUUUGGUGGUGACAUUAUUUUAAGAUUUUAUGGAAGAUAGACGAAAUAACAGCUAAAAAUGAAUACACAAUUAGAAGGAGGGAGCCCUGAGAGAAUUAAUUUGGUCAAAGGUAAGUAGAUAUAUUGAUUAAUAUGUGUGUUUUGAUAAAAUCUAAAGACAAAAAGGUUGAAUUCAUUACUGUCACGUGGUUGUCCUACUUUCAGUUUCUAUACUUUCACUUUGACAUUUUCUUUUAUUUAUGUACACAUAUUUUGUUACAGCAGAAUAAAUUCUCAUUUGGUUUGCAUCAACUACAAACUAUAGAAGAUCAGCAAAUAAAAUAACCUGCAAAGAUAUCUUUUAAUUACUCUAUAAAUUUCUUGGCAUUAAAUGGUUGCAUUUGUCAAAUGUAAUUAUGUAAAGAAAUGGAUGUACAGCUUCAUAUGUUGCUUUGUAGUGUUAGAAUAUAUGACUUAAGUCAAAAUAUAGGUUAAGCAGGGCAUUCCACUCAUUCUUGAAGGGCAGGUGAAAGAAGAAGGGGGAGUCUGAGGAAUUUUAUAUUGUAGAUGUGUUUUUCUUGACAACUUAUAGGAACAUGUAGCCAUGCAUGUGUAUAGAAAAUUGCUUGAGACAGAAUGAUAUUUCUUAAUAACAUUGUAGUAAUCUCAGAGAUAGACCACAAUUUGGUAUUUGCCUCUGGUUGUUAUUAUCAGUGUCUAUUGAAGUAACGAAUAAACAAUAUUCUGCACAAGAAAAAGCAACUACUGUCAGAGGAUCUGAUCCUUCAACCAUUUCCCACUGAGACAUUAAUUUGUCCAAUAAAUAAACAAUAUUAUCAUGAUUUAAUAUUCGUCCAAAGAAUGUCAUACAUGUAGUAUUAAGUUAAAUUGUCAAAACCAUCGAAAACUUCCAUAAGAUAUAAGCCUCUUGAAGCAAUCAGUAAGCUUAUCCAAGAAAGGUUGAUAUUCCCAAAUAUUUGAAAGCCUGGUCCAAAAGAAAAACUGUCUGAAAAAAAAGAUAUUCUGCUAUGAGGUAGUCUUAAGAUAAAUUAUGUUAGAAACUUUUAACCCUUUCUGACUGAACAAAAGCGUUACUUACAUAUUUCUAUAAGACAAUAGUGGGUACGUCCCUAUUUCGUGUUUCCAAACAAAUGUUGAAACAGAAGCUAGAUUUUAAUGUUUUAUGACAUAUUAUACAUGUUUGAUAUCAUUUAGAUUUAGUAUUCCUAUAUUUGUAAUGUGCAAAUUGUUAACCUUAUUGUCUACCAUGGUAAAAUAAAUCUAAUAUUGAUAUUAUGAGAUCUGCUUUGAAGAAGUUUGAAAAUCGUAAAAUAUGUUCAAUUUACUCAUGUGCUUUUCAGUUGAUACUGAUGCACUUUUGCGAUUUUCCUUUCACAUUCUUAAAUCCCAGCCAUAUUUUGAUCCAAUUGAAAGCUUCUUAAUGUAGGAAACUUUCUGUCAGAUGAGUAACGAAGCUAAUACCAUUUUCUACUCAGUGCAUUAACUCAGUAAAUUAGCUUUUGUAUUCAAUAUUAUUGGUGAUAAAUAAUUUUCUACAUUUUACAAACUAGUUGCAGCUGCUGCGAGAUUAUUUGCAAUAUUUGAACUUUCAAUUCAUAACUUUGUAAUGUAUUACAAUAAUAACCAAUCAUUCAUUUGAUGUAAUAAUAUGACUAUAUUAACUUUGAUAUAUAUAACAUAUUGAUGAAAUGACUUAGGAGUAAUGAAUCAAAUUGUUGGAUAAUUUUAUAUUACAUAUAUAUAUUUAUAGUACAUGUUAAUGUAGAACAUAUGGUUUAGAAUUUUUUUAAAUGAAUCAAGUAUUAAAAGAUUCUAUCAAUUUAAUGAUUUCUAAAAAUCAAUUGUUGUUCUCAGUUGAAGUAUGGGUUAUUUUUUUUUUUUUAACCAAAAAUGGUAAAAGUAACAAUGUUUGAGAAAAGAUAUAAGUAUAAAUCUUAUAUUUGAAGUUUUUAAAGGAAAAACUCAAAUUUAUGCCUUAUGACUUUUUUUAUAAUUUUUUUUUAAUGUUUAAAAUGCAAAUCAAUGUAACUAUUAAAAAUUGAAACAUUGUCUUUUGAAAAGGUUGAGGUCAUUGAUUGGCAUCACAUCUUUGAAAUAAUAUUUGCAAUUCUUAUUCUGUUGAUUGAAAUAUUUCUCUCUUUCAAGUAUAGGAAACUGUCAGUAAAGGGGAGGUAACUCAAAGAAUACUAUUGUAUUUUACCAGCAUUCUUUAAUAGAGAGAAAAUCAUUUUCAAUGACUUAUUUGAAAAAGAGUAUUAUGUACCAAUAUGGUCAAUUUGACAAAAUAGAACAGAACAGAACAGAACAGAACAUAUUUUAUUUCCAAUUAAGGGCCCACAAGAGGCAUACAGAGUAUACAUGAAUAAGGAUAUAAUAAAUGAAGGACAGCGAUUUCACAUUAGUGGCCAGUUUCAAUUCAAUGAUUAUUUUCAGUAUAAGAUUGUUGAUCUAGCUUGAUCUGAACAAGGAUUUGUAUAGUACUAUACAAAUCCUUGAUCUGAAUCAAAAGGAAGAAAAUAAAUUUUAUUUCAUUUUGAUCUAGAUCUGACGUUUUGUUUUUGUCAACAGGUGCUUUAAAAAACCAACCACACCUGUUUCAUAAACGCCCAUAUUUGAACACUUUUUUUUUGUUGCUUAUGUUUACAUUGACGUCAACACUUUAAGGUGUUUUAGAUUUACCAUUAAGAUAUUUUUUUUAUUUCUUAAGCCUCUUUAAUUCCCACAUAAGUGUUUCUAAAAGAACUUUUUCCCCCUUAAAGGAAUAUGUACUUAUUUAUUUAUUUGUACACCCAAUAUAAUAUAUUUACCUAUAUUAUGUACAAACAUAUUAUCUGAUUUAAAGAUGUGAGUGUAAUGGGUUUUCUAAUUGAUUGGAUUUAUAAUCUAGAUGUUAGCAGGGUCGAGAAAGUUGACUUUAUGUUGAAGUCACCUAAAUGUUAAGUCUGAUCGACCACUUAAUGUAUGUACUAAGUCACUGAGCCUGUAUUUCAGGGACUGUAGUUUAUUGUUUAAUAUUAAAUCAUUAGAUUUUUUUUUUUGUUUUGGUAAAUUAAGUUGAAAGAGCUCUAAAUACAGCCAUUGACAGCCAGUAAAAGAGAAAAUGGAAAUAAUUAUAUUAACACUAUUAUUAUUAUAUAUAGUUUCACAGAGAACAAUAUAUUUUGACAGAUUUACUUUAAUGAAUUAUAGAUUGAUAAGUUAUUGGUGUUUAACGCCACUUAAACACUCUUUGAUAUAUCACACCAUGAGCCAGUUUUUAUGAAGACAGGGUGUGUCCUGUAGAGAAAUACUGCCCUUAUUCUGCACUGGAAUCAACUCAUUAAAGAACUUGUUUAAACAGUGCCUUGAAAGAUAAUGCAGGAAUAAAAAUUCUGAAUUUAAGUUUGAUUACUGAUGAAUUUUAUCUUUUAAACUUUAAUUGCGAUAUUAUUUAAAAUCUUUUAAACUUUAAUUACGAUAUUAUUUAAACUGGUACAAUCUCUCUCUUUCUCGUUGAUGGUAUUACCUCGCGAUUCUCAAGUAUUCCAGUACACCUACUUCAUUUGGAAAAAUUCAUAUGUUGCUAUACAAUAAUUGUAUAAAUAUGAUGUAAAAAAAAAAAAGGCAAAAAGUGAAUUGGUCAAGGUCUUAAUAUUAACAGUGACAUGAAAUAAACAUUGCAUGGUAUAUAUUUGUUGUGAUUAUUAUUAUUAUUGUCACAUUUAAAAGGUUGUAGAACAAAAUAUUAAAAGUUCACUGUUCAAAUCCUUAAGGGUUUUUAAACAAUAUUAUUAUAAAUUCAUUUAAAUGUAAAGUGCAUACACCUUAACAAUCCUAUUAUAAAGCUAUUAAAAGGUGUCACUAAAAAGUCUGACAAUAGUUCUUUCAAGACUUGAAAAAUUAGCUACACAGUGGCUCAAGAGGUGUAAUUUAUUUUAAGGUCACCUAGGAUUAACAUGUCUAUUAGCGGGGUGAAAGUCCGGGUACAUCUGCACAGGAUCACACUUCCGAUACAAAAGAUAUAAGAGAUAAGAGUCCUGUCCUUGAAGAGACGCACACACCUGAGAAAUUUACCUGAACCCCGGGGUCAAAUUGAAUUUUUGUUUUCACAUGCAGUUACAAAUUUAAAGUUUGAUAUUUCAUAUAUUUAUUCAAAACGGACAUUAUAAAUGGGGGUUUAAAUAUUAUAAACCAAUCGGAUAAUGAGGCUUGUAUUUAAAUAUAGAAUAUUCUAAGCUAAUCAAUAAGUCUGUCUGGUGUUAAUUAAGGUAAAAUCGUUAGUCAGAGUUUACCUGCGUUUGUUAUUAACAAGGAAAUCUCUUGUAGAUUUCCAGGUCAGUGAAAUGACAUUUUAUUUUGGGAGAUAUAGCAACAUUUUUCGUUAGUUUCUCUGUUUGGGAUUUUUGUGUUAUUGACGCUACAGAUAAAAUGAGGAAUUCAGAUUUUCUUCUGAAAAGCGUGAGAUUAUUUUUAAUUGAUUUUUAUUAAUAUUGGUGAAAUUAUAGAUAUUAAGAAAUAAGUAUUGUUUAAUUUAAGACCUUUGAAAAUCUCUUUGUUUAAUGUAAGAAGUUGUAAAAUUUAAUAAAACUGAUUUUUAAGUUCUUUAAAAUUUUAUGAACUGAUUAUGUAAUGGAAAUUGAAGUUAAAAGGUGGAUGAUUUUUUAAGCAUGAAAAAUGUAAUUCUAAGAAAAAGACAAAAAUGAGAUAAUCUUAGGUUUUUCCUAGAUAGAUAAAAACAAUAUAAAUGUCAUUGAAUGUAUUUCAACUUAAAAAUCAUUAAAAAUUGUAACUUAUAAUGGUUUAUAAACCUUUUAAUAAAUUUAAGUUCUUGAUCAACAACUUUUUAAGAACAAAUAUUCUUUAACAGAAGUGUGUUGUAAUUUAAACUGUUUAAAUGCUGUCUGUAAUUUAAACAAAAUAAAAGUCUCCAUUAACUGAAAUUUGCACAAUUUUUAAGUCAGUUUGAAUGAAUUGAAACAUUGUAAAAAAGAUUUGGUCCAGUUUUAAAGGGUUAAAAAGGGAAGUAAUCUGAAAGGAAAUUUUGCAUGUUACACACAUUGUUUUAUAAAUUUUGAUAUUUCUAAACUUUUAUGAAAAUGUAAAUUUUUUAUAAUUCCAUUUCAUAUCACCUAUAAAUAGCUUAUUUUUAACUUUUAUAUAACUUUUACAGAGGAAAUGUAAUUAACUAUAAAAUUCUUUCAAGAGAUUCGGUAAUUAACAGCAAAAAAGUAUUCAUUAGACCCAUAGACAUAAUAUAGGAACUUUGUUAUAUAUUUUUGUUAGAAGAAAUACAUGGAUAAUGAGAAUUGAUACUUUUACCACAUUUUUCUUCUUUUCUAAACUUUACUCUUAUGAUAUUUUCUGAUAUGUUUCUAUUUCUGGAGAAAUUGUCAUGGAGGGUUUAGGUGAUGAUUUUUCUGUGUUUUUAUAUAUUUUUCGGUCUUCUGAUGUUUUCUGAUAUGUUUUAUUUCUGUAGAAAUUGUUAUGGAGGGUUUAGGUGAUGAUUUUUCUGAGUUUUCUUAUAUUUUUCUGAUGUUAUAAUUAUUUAUUGAGAAUCUUUCAUGGAAAAUUUAGGAUGAUGAUUUUUCUUUGAUUCUAAUUUUUUUGUUAUAUAAAAAUUUCUAGAGAUUUUUUCAUUGGUGAUUACAGAUGAUGAUUUUUCUUUAAUUUGCAAUUUUUUUCUGGCCUGUUAUACGGAUUUGGCUAUACUUUUUGGACCUUUUGGAUUAUAGCUCUUCAUCUUUUAUAUAUAUAGUUUUGGAUUUCAAAUAUUUUGGCAACGAGCAUCACUGAAGAGACAUGUAUUGUCGAAAUGCGCAUCUGGUACAAGAAAAUUGGUACCGUUUAUUUUAUUAUAUAUAUAUAUUCCUGUUGACUUUUUCAUGGACAGUUUAGAAUAAUGAUUUUUCUACAUUUUCGUAUAUUUUUCUGAUUAGUUCUAAAUGCAUUGGCAGAAAUUAUUUAAUGGACGACUUGAAAUGAUGAUUUUUGCAUCUUUCUCCCUCCACAGCUGGGUUCACCUGGACAAUGUUAUGAAGUUCUGAUUGGAUAAUUGAUCUUUGAGCGCCUGGCAUUAAUUAAGGGAUCAAAAUAACCGAUAAUUAGCAAGGAAGUGACCACUUAACACCUGUAUUUUCACCUUUGCUAAUUCUCAGAAGGAAGUUCGGCUAGUUUAUAGACUGCAUCUGGUGUAUGCACAGAGUGAUCAAUUGCAUCUGCAGCUAAAAUUUGUUUGGAUAUUAAUCAUAAUGGCCUUGGGUUAUAGAAAAUGAAUUACUUUUCGAGUUAAUUGUGUAAUUCAUUGUUUUAGUUUCUUUGUGUAAUGUGAUGAAUCGGUGAUUACUUUCAUAUUCUGUUGACAAAUAAACCACGGAGAGUUCAAAAUACAAAAUAUCCACUUCUUCAAAAUAACUGCUUUUUUAGAUAUUUUUAAUUGGACAUUGCACUCUUACACCAGUGUAUCAAUAUAAUCAUGGUAUGUAUAUUUGAUUUUAAAUUUGAAUAUAUAUUAUUUAAUUAACUUUUAAAAUGUGGAAUAAUGUAUUUAUACCAAUUUGGUACAUUUGCAAUUACAUUUGUAGAAUAUAAUUCGUUUUAACAAAUCUUAAUUUUUGCUGCUCAAGGCUAUUUCUUCUAAGUGCUUAUUGGGCUUAAUUCUCAAUUUUCCUUGGUUUAAGUUAAUCUUUGACAAUAUGGUGAUUUUAUCUUAAAAGGCCACUUAAUGAUAACUAUAUACCAUCACUGUGUUGAAGCAGAUCCUCUACUUUCUUUCUUCUUUCAAUACUUAGUUAAGCAGUAUCUCAAUGCAAUUCAUUGAAUUUCUGACCAUCUUGGUCGACUCCUUAUAAUUAAUUUUGCAAGUUUCAUCAACAUUUACUGAUGUUAGCUUUUAACUUAAUGUGAACAAACUUUGGUUAAGAUCUGUAGAGAAAUUGAUUUUAUGUGGUCAGUAUAAAGUGGAUGACCACAAAGUGUGUAUAUAUAAUUACCAAAUGACCACAACUAAUUAUUCCAUGGUCAAUAUUGCUACACAUACUGGACUUCACAUAUAAUUAUAAUUAAUAUUUAAUCAGUCGGACAAAUCAAUAAUCCCAUGUGGUCGCUGGAUCGUAACAUCAGCAGUAAUUAAUUACCUGGAUAAUUGAGACAAUACGCUGAUAAUUACAUGUAGACAAUAGUUGUUGAUUAUCAGAAAGGGGAUUUGAUGUUAAUAGCUUGUGGAUGGCCAAUGUGGAUUAUCUUCAAUAGCUUGUGGAUCGCCUAUGUGGAUUAUCUUCAAUAGCUUGUGGAUCGCCUAUGUGGAUUAUCUUCAUAAGCGCAAUAUAUGUGAUCUCUGAUUUAUAAUGUUGAUUUCGACACACCUGGACUAAGAAUUGGCUUGAACUCUUGAAGAAGAUAUUUGGAACAUAGAAGAAAUUUCUUAUGUUGAUUUUGACAGACCUGGACUAAGAUUUGGCUGGAACUCUUGAAGAAGAUAUUUGGAACCUAGAAGAAAUUUCGUAUUAUGUUGAUUUUGACACACCUGGAUAUAAAAUAUACAUGAUGAAAUUCAUGAUUAUGUUGAUUUUGACACAUUUGGACUAUGAAUUCAGUUAUAAACCCCUAAAAGAAGAUAUUUGGAACUUAGUUUGUAGAGAUGACCAGAAUCAAUAAUCAUUGUAAGGAUUACACCUGUGAGUUACCUGUUUAAAAACGUGUGAUAAUUAAUUAUUUAUUGAUCAUAAUUAUCAAUCAUAAUUAAUUAAAUUAAAGGCUGGAUUUCCGAGACCAGAGUGAAGGAAUAAUCUGCAGAUAGCCAUUGUGGAAUAAAUUGAUAAAUUGAGCUUGGAAUAGGUCGAGGCGAUUGAACAAGAAACAGACCAAGUAGAACAUAGGCAAGACUGAAUUUGCAGUAAUUUAUAAGUAUGAUACUUGUUUCAUCAUGCAUGACCAGUAUGACAACUUGACAAGAGGGUGCUUGUCUUGUGUUGCUUUCUGUCAUAUAUAUUUGUUUCUUUGUUAACUUUUUUUGUCAUUUAAACCAGACAAUUCCUUUUCCUGUUUGAAUUGUUUCUCUUUGAUGAUAUUGCACAGUCAUCUCUGAAUUUUGUAUAGCUGCCACUUUCACUAUAUGGUAUGGGUUUUGCUCAUUGUUGAAGUGUACAAUAAUUUAUAGUUGCUUACAUUACUUACUAUUGGUUUUCCUGUUUGAAUUAAUUCUCUUGAAUGAUUUUGUCAUCUCUGAAUUUUGUAUAGCUGCCACUUUCACUAUAUGGUAUGGGUUUUGCUCAUUGUUGAAGUGUACAAUAAUUUAUAGUUGCUGACAUUACUUACUAUUGGUUUUCCUGUUUGAAUUGUUUCUCUUAAAUGAUUUUGUCAUCUCUGAACUUUGUAUCAUCUGACAUUUAUCACUGUUAUAUGGUAUAGAUUUUGCUCAUUGUUGAAGUUUAUGGUGAUUUAUUUAGUUGCUUAUAGUGCUUACCAUUGGUUUUCCUGUCUGAAUUGUUUCACUUGACCUUUUAUAGCUGACAAUCAUGAUGUGAUAUUGGUUUUGCUCAUGGUCGAAGGUUGAACUGUGGCUUACAGUUACCCUCAUUAUUCACAUCAUUUUGACUCUUGUGAAUAGUUGUCUCACCAACAAUUUUUACCACAUUACUUUAUUUUCAUGCAAUAUUUCUAUUGUCUUUGCCGGCUGGUUAAAUUGAAGUACCAAAUCGGUGUAUAAUGUAUAAAUUAAGGUCAAGUUAAGGUAAAGGUAAAUGAACUAUUUGUCACAGAUUUUGGUAAAACUUUUGCAUACAACUUUGGCUUGUUAAUUAACCUAUGACUGAAAAUUGAAGCAAAUAAUAUUGCAUCUAUCUUCUCUUUUUUUUUAUUCUAGCAAAUAUUACUGUUUGAAAAAUCUUUCAAAAUAUGUGAACAUUUGUAUAGAAUGCACAUAAUUGGCCUUUAGUUCAACUGAGAUUAUAAUUAUUAGUGUGAUUUGUGUUACUCCGUCUAAAGUUUAAUGUGCUGUGAUUCAAUGACUGUAAUGUUUGUCUUUUUCAUAUUUUUUUUGCCACGAUUUUGUUGAUCUCUUUAUGGUUGAGUUUUAAAUUGUACCUUUUUUCUAAGCUUGGCCUGUUUUAUUUUUAAUUUAAGCAUUUGAAUGUCCCCUUGGUAUAUUCUUAAUCUAUUUCGUCAUCAAACAAAGGAAUCAGUUACACAUAAUUCAUCACAUUUCUAGGUGCAAUGUAUCUUAGGUCUUACAUUUCAUUCUCAGACUUCCAGGAUAAAAUCUAUACCUGGCUGAAUAUUAAUAUGGCAUCAAGACUUGUUUGUCAAUCUUCACAACAAAGAAUUAAUAGUUAUUGACAAGCUGUCUGUAUGAUCAUAUGAAACCUGGUGGUCAUUACAGCCAAGGACACAAUAAUUAAGGACAAAACUGACCAUAAUCAUAGGAAUUUAGCAUUGAUAUAUCAAAAUUAUCCCCCAGACAUGAUAGUGAAGGACAUGUAUAGGAUAUAUGCAUUUUAUAUAGUUAACAAGGGGCUCUGGAUGAGGAGCACUUCUGUUUUCUCUAUUUGUUAGGUCAUUUUAAGUUAUUUAUUCUUUAUAAGUUUUGCCCAUUUUUUUCUUUUCUUUAUAUUAAUUAUAUUCCAUAUUAUUGGGCCUAUUUUUCUCUUUUCCUUAUUUGUUGACCAAUUUUUCUGUAAUACACAAAUGUAUUGGUCCUUUAUUCUCUAUUCUGUCAUCCCCACCCAGACCAUCCUAUAAGAUCCAGUGCAAUUAAUUAGUCCAACUGAAUGCCUAUGUUUAAAAAUAAGGAUCAUAUUAUAAAAUCUAGCUACUGAUUAUGUGUUUUGAGUUUUCGUUUUGUGUUUUUUGUUUACAUUAAUGCAAUCUCAUUGAAUUUUAACUCUCACAUGAUUGUCUAUGCACACAAUGCUCAAAUAGUUGCUUUCUUUAUGAGUCAUAUUUUCUGUUUUUUUCUAUUUCCUCCUUCAAGUCAGGUUAAUAAGUUGUUUGUGCCCGUGACCAGGAUUAAAAUCUUGAAAAACAUACUGAUGGUUUCACAUGUUCUUUUGACAGAAAAGUAGAGACUAUUUUCUUAACAUUUCUGUUAGAAAACAUUCAGUAUGGUCUGGAUGGGGUCCUUCAAAUCUGUAUUCUUUACUUUUUAGUCCAUUUUUCUCAUGAUUUAUUUUGCCCAUUUAUUACAGUCUAUAUUCUUUAUUUUUUUUGCCCAUUAGCCUCUUUUUGUAUUUUUUUGCCCAUUUAAGUCUCGAUUCUUUAUUUUUUUGUUCAUUUUCUCUAUUUAUAUUUUUUGCUCAUCAUACUCAAGACUAUGAUAUCCUGUUACUGUAAAACUUCCAUCAAAACCCUCAUGUAUGUUGGUACAUCAUAUAUUAAAGUUAUGAAAUAUUAUCCAUAACUCUUGAAUGUUCUAACCAAUCGGCUUUCAGAUUAAAUAAUAAAGGAAGCUAUAAAAAAUAUGUAAUAAUUUGUAUAUGGUCAUCACAAUGUUGCUUAAUACCCUACAGUUAUAUGUUUUGUGACAAAUUAUGAAGUUAAGAAAAAAAUUGUUGGAGGCAAAAUCUGGUAUAAUGUAAAUUGUUUUGUAAUGAAUAACUUUUUGAUAUGAAAAUAAUUAGGUGCCAUUAAAAUGCAGUUGUAUCCUUAAAAGUUUAUGAAACCCUUAAAAUCAUUGCUCAGAUGUUGAUUAAUGGAGAGGAAUAAAAGUUUUAUGCUAAUUUUAGACCAAAAUUUUUAAAAUGCUAUAAAUGUAAUAGUAAAUUUCCAAUUAGACAAAUUUAAAUUGCUUCGAUAGCUCUUUGACAUAUAUCAACAUUUAUAUUAUUAUUCUUUAAUUUAUAUUAACGACCAUGUUUUCACCCAAACAAGGAAAUUGACAAGACACUGAUAGUUUAAGCAAUAUAUAUAAUUACGCUAUUACGCCAUCUACAACUGUAUUACUUAGUAUUAUAUCAAUCUUUAAUUAUCUAUCUUGUUCAAGCCCCGAGGGGUCAAAGGGUCAUUGGACAUUGAUUGAUAAAUCACUAAUAUCUAAGAAAAAUAUUAUUUGUAAAAACACCUUUUGAUCAAAUGUCAAAGUGUUAUUUGGCUAAAAUUGUUUUUGUUGAUAAAUUGAGAGUAUUUUUUUGCUUAUUCUCUGUUAAAAAUAGAUGAUCACAUUUGAAUGAUAUUUCUUCAUAGGAUGUGAUUUGUGAAUGAGGAUUUUUCGUUAAAAGAAAAAAGACCACAGCCACAGGUGAAUAGAAAGCAAAGCGUUUUAACAGCUGAUUGGAUAGAUUGAUUUAAAUUUUAAAAAAACUGAAAAUUUAUUUAAAUACAACUGGAUAAUCUAAAUAUCCAUAGAUAAUAUCUAACUUGGAAAUGAACUUAUUUUUGCUUGAUUGAGUUCAUUUAAAAACUGCACGGAAAACUUUCAUUUGUGAAUAGAAAUUGCAUUCUAUUGUACAACAUUUGGAAACGGGUCACAGAUGGACUUUCUUACCUUUGAAUGCACACGUAAUAUUAUUUAAAUAAGAAUAAGGUGGAGAUUUUAAUAUGCAUUAUAAUUCGACAAUAAAUAUUGAAUGAUUAGCAGAGUUGAUUUUUCAGUCAUCGACAUUUAGGGUGGUUUAAACCCACAUAUAUAAAAGAAACAAUAGCUUCGUAGUGUCCUUGCGUGUCUUGCUGAAUCUUCUAAACAAAUACUGACAUUAUAUUGUCAAUAAGAGUAUAUAUUCUUCACUAUAGGAAGAUCGUUAAACUGAUUGAUUUCAUCGGAUUUACGACAGAUCUUGUGUAUCGUAAUAAUCACUGAAUUGAAUACGGACUGGUAUACUAUGUAACAUAUUAUUGAACCAAUUUGUGACAAAAUAGUGUAAAUUAUAUAUACGGUCAUGAUUUGCAAUUUAAAUUUGGCAUUAGACUUGUAAACAGAAGUAGAUAUUCACUGCACUCGGAACAACAAAUCCAUGUCCUUCUAGUAAAUGGAAGCUGUGGAAAUUAUUGGAAAUAUCAUGUGCGAAAUAAACUAAACAAUAAAUACUGCUGAUACAUCUAGAAAAGUGGGAGUGUAUUACGAAAUUAGAUAAUUCUCGUCAGUUUAUCGGGAAAAGAAAAAAAUACAAAACAUGUGAUAAAUACAUGUACAUGCAUUUGUCGACUGUUAUCAAUUUAAAUAAUUGAAAAUGUAAAUAUUGUACAAGUGACAAGAAAUCGUCGUAAUCAGUGAUUUUUCACCCUUAUCAAUAUACAUAUAUAUAUAUUAUUUGAUAAUGGAUCGACCACUCAGUUUAAACCUGGAUAGUCUGCCUGUCAACAUCAUGUCGGAAAAUGCACGGAAAAAAUACACGGAGGUUUUCAACAAGCAGAACAAUAUAGCGGAAAAUGGUAAGUCAUGUUUGCUAUUUAUAGAUGGAACGUUUAGGUCAGAACUAACAUCUUUGAGGUAUUUGAGUGCAGAAAUUAACAUCUUUAUUUGGACUUCUGAGUUUUAGAUAUGUUUUAGAGUGUUGGAGUGGAGUGUGGAAAAAAGGAUGGGGUUAAAUAUCGAUGUCUUACAAAAAGGC